rnacentral:rRNA from 1 species
UACGUAGGGUGCAAGCGUUGUCCGGAAUUAUUGGGCGUAAAGAGCUCGUAGGCGGUUCGUCGCGUCGGCUGUGAAAUCCCGAGGCUCAACCUCGGGUCUGCAGUCGAUACGGGCGGACUGGAGUACUGCAGGGGAGACUGGAAUUCCUGGUGUAGCGGUGAAAUGCGCAGAUAUCAGGAGGAACACCGGUGGCGAAGGCGGGUCUCUGGGCAGUUACUGACGCUGAGGAGCGAAAGCGUGGGGAGCGAUCCGG